UACGGAGGGGACUAGCGUUGUUCGGAAUUACUGGGCGUAAAGCGCACGUAGGCGGAUUGUAAGUCAGGGUGAAAUCCCGGGGCUCAACCUCGGAACUGCCUUUGAUACUGCAAAUCUCGAGUCCGGAAGAGGUGAGUGGAAUUCCUAGUGUAGAGGUGAAAUUCGUAGAUAUUAGGAAGAACACCAGUGGCGAAGGCGGCUCACUGGUCCGGUACUGACGCUGAGGUGCGAAAGCGUGGGGAGCAAACAGGG
rnacentral:rRNA from 1 species